UACGUAGGGACCAAGCGUUGUUCGGAUUUACUGGGCGUAAAGGGCGCGUAGGCGGCUUAACAAGUCACUUGUGAAAUCUCCGGGCUUAACUCGGAACGGCCAAGUGAAACUGUCAAGCUAGAGUGCAGAAGGGGCAAUCGGAAUUCUUGGUGUAGCGGUGAAAUGCGUAGAUAUCAGGAGGAACACCAAUUGCGAAGGCAGCUCGCUGGGACGUAACUGACGCUGAGACGCGAAAGCGUGGGGAGCAAACAGG
rnacentral:rRNA from 1 species